rnacentral:rRNA from 1 species
ACACAUGCAAGUCGAACGAAGCACUUUAACCUGAUUCUUCGGAUGAAGGUUUUUGUGACUGAGUGGCGGACGGGUGAGUAACGCGUGGGUAACCUGCCUCAUACAGGGGGAUAACAGUUAGAAAUGACUGCUAAUACCGCAUAAGACCACGGAGCCGCAUGGCUCAGUGGGAAAAACUCCGGUGGUAUGAGAUGGACCCGCGUCUGAUUAGGUAGUUGGUGGGGUAACGGCCUACCAAGCCAACGAUCAGUAGCCGACCUGAGAGGGUGACCGGCCGCAUUGGGACUGAGACACGGCCCAAACUCCUACGGGAGGCAGCAGUGGGGAAUAUUGCACAAUGGGGGAAACCCUGAUGCAGCGACGCCGCGUGAGCGAAGAAGUAUUUCGGUAUGUAAAGCUCUAUCAGCAGGGAAGAAAAUGACGGUACCUGACUAAGAAGCACCGGCUAAAUACGUGCCAGCAGCCGCGGUAAUACGUAUGGUGCAAGCGUUAUCCGGAUUUACUGGGUGUAAAGGGAGCGUAGACGGCUGUGUAAGUCUGAAGUGAAAGCCCGGGGCUCAACCCCGGGACUGCUUUGGAAACUAUGCAGCUAGAGUGUCGGAGAGGUAAGUGGAAUUCCCAGUGUAGCGGUGAAAUGCGUAGAUAUUGGGAGGAACACCAGUGGCGAAGGCGGCUUACUGGACGAUGACUGACGUUGAGGCUCGAAAGCGUGGGGAGCAAACAGGAUUAGAUACCCUGGUAGUCCACGCCGUAAACGAUGACUACUAGGUGUCGGGGAGCAAAGCUCUUCGGUGCCGCAGCAAACGCAAUAAGUAGUCCACCUGGGGAGUACGUUCGCAAGAAUGAAACUCAAAGGAAUUGACGGGG